GGUGAGUUUCUGCGUUGAGUCCUCUCCUGCAGCGUUUGGAUUCCCUCUGGCGUACACAUCUGGCUGGCUGCAGAUGAAGCGUCUCUCCGAGUAGCACUGGGAGCAGCUGACACCAGGAUUGUUCAGGUCUUGCUUGGAGUCAAUCACCGCCAAGGAGGCACCCAGGGAAGAGCAGUUAUUCUGGCUAGCGCUCCAGCUCCCUUCACUCCCUGAGAAGUAAUAGCAUUUCCCUUGGUACCCGACCCAGCCAUCAGGGCAAGCAGCAGUGACAUAGGACGGACAGCGGGACAUCUUGGCUGAAAGCAAGCAGGGUGUCAGAUCUCAAAACCGUUAUCUGCUAACAGCUGGAAAUGUGUCCGUGGUGGGUGUGAGAUUCAGCAGUACGUUCAGAGCUUGCAUUCAGGCCGGUUUGUUUAUUGUGUGUAUCUUCUAGACUAAUACCUGGCCUGACUUCAACAGGCAGCUUUGCAUAUACACCCAGACUAAUGUAUGAUCACAAUGCAGAGAUUGCACACAGUGUAUUGUAUUUUCCUCAUAAAACAAGUUUUUUUUACAUAUAUGAAUGAUACAAAAGUAGGGUGAAAAAAUCAGAAAAAAAUGGAAAAUAUUUUUUGUAAAACCUGGAAUUUUUUGGUAAAAAUCAGUUUAAACUGAACACCAAGGGGCUUAAGUGUGACUCUGAAAAUUGGGUUUCUAUCCCUGGCUCAGCCCCCUCCCUGCUGCGUGACCUUGGGCCCAUCUCUUCCCCUCCCCCAUCUUGUCUAUUUGGAUAAUAAACUCCCCUGGGCAGGGACUGUGCUGUGUCUUUUGCUCUUUGCACAACAAAAUAGUGUGUAGCAUCCACACAGGCACAGGGGAGUUCCCAGUCACCGUGUUUAAGUGGGAAUGUUCUUAAUGUUUUCUCUGAAUACU